rnacentral:rRNA from 1 species
CGCGUAGGCGGUUUGGUCAGUUGGAUGUGAAAGCCCAGGGCUUAACCUUGGAAUUGCAUUCAAUACUGCCAGGCUAGAGUACGGUAGAGGGGGGUAGAAUUCCACGUGUAGCGGUGAAAUGCGUAGAGAUGUGGAGGAAUACCAGUGGCGAAGGCGGCCCCCUGGAUCGAUACUGACGCUGAGGUGCGAAAGCGUGGGGAGCAAACA